rnacentral:misc_RNA from 1 species
AUUAUGCGCUUAAACGCUGGCUUGAGCUAGUUAAACGUAAUCGUUUGUUUGCCUUGUGUAGGGAGAGGUGUUAAAAGAAUCUGUGUGUGUGUAUGCACGUCGCCUUCGCGUGUCAGUAAUAUGGCACCAGCCAGCAUCCACGUUGGACAUCUGACGGUUAUGAAAACUUGCAUGCACAAUCACUGUGGAGGCUGCAGGGCGGCUUUGCCAGUAGGAAGGGCGGAAAUUCCUGAAGAUGUGUUCAUUCAUGCUGCAUCAGCUGCUUGGUGUUUUCAUGGCAUCUCUGCACACGUGUUGGGUUGAUCAUAAGCAGAAAACCAGAAGCGGCAGUGGUCUCCAGAAGAGACCCAAGGACCCCAAGCUCUCUGUGACACAAACAGGAAGGGCACUGUGGUGCAUUGAAAACCUGCGCCAGUAGUGCAUUACCAGUGCACUAUGCUGCUGUUUCAUCAAGGAGAAAGGAGGUGACCACCCCCAGAGGAACUUCAUGCUCUACAGUAUGCUUUUGAAUGUCACGUGGAGAAGUGUGGAAGGCGUUCCUCCCAUGGCAGAGCGGUGACCGGAGCGUGAGCUGAUACCUGG